CAACAACAGCUGGGUGAUGCUUCUGGUCUCAUUCCCACAUGGCAGUCAGGUCACUGGGACAGCAAAUCUGGCCUGUGUGAUCCAUGGAGUGCCCAGCCCAGUCCAUGUUUCCUGGAGUGUUUCUGGGGAGCUGCAGGAACAGGGGCUGACAUGCUCAUUGAAAGCAAAGGAUGGAUUUUUAACGCUUGUAAAUCACAUCAGCGUCCCCAUGGACACCUGGACCAGUGGGAAGAAUUUCACCUGUGAAGUCAAAUUCAACUCUUCUGGCAACAGUGUGAAGAAAAGUACCAGAUAUCCUGCAGCUUCCUCCACAGCCCAUCCCAGCGGGUGUGUGCCACAGACAGUGCGCUAUGCAGUGGCGAUUUUCCUGGUGGUGUUGAUGGUGUCUUUGAGCCUGGCCUGGAGUCACUGCUGUUCUAAUCCAGGGUCAAACCGCUUAUGCCCAACUGGAGUUUGAUUCAAGGAAUCACAGCCAGAGCAGGGAGCAGUGACCAGGGAAAGGGGGAAAUCGUAGUCCACACGGGAUCCAAGCCUGGACACUCACAGCUGUUUCACUGCCGAUCUCAAUGACAGGACCAUCCUGUAAGGUGCUGACUUUCUGUACAAGCUGUUGGUUGAUUUUUACUACUUCUUCCUGCUCUUCACUGCUGCUGCAUGUGGCUAAGUUCCAAAAUGUAAC